AUGGACGCGCAGCGUGCCCUGCUUGACGCGCUGAUGGGUUCGUCGCGGGACCUGACGGAGGAGGAGAAGAAGGAGCACCGGGAGGUGGCGUGGGACGACCCCGACGUGUGCGCCCCCUACAUGGCCCGCUUCUGCCCCCACGACCUCUUCAUCAACACCAAGAGCAACCUCGGAGUAUGCCCAAAGAUCCACGACCCGGCGCUCAAGCAAAGCUUCGAGUCCUCCCCCCGCUACGCCGCCGCCCUCCCCAAAUUCGAGGCCGACCUCGCCCACCGCUGCGAGAGGCUGGUCCAGGACCUUGAUAAGAAGAUCAGGCGCGGCCGCGACAGGCUGGCCCAGGACGUCGUGGAGGUGCCGCCCCCCGCCGCCCACGCCGAAAAGGUCGAGCAGCUCGCCAUUCUCGAAGAGAAGAUCAAGAAGCUGCUCGAGCAGAUUGAGCAGCUCGGCGACACCGGCAAGAUCGACGAGGCCACCGCGCUCAUGAGGAAGGUGGACAUUCUCAACCUCGAGAAGUCGGCUCUGACCCACCAGAUUGAGACCAAGCUCUCCAUGGUCCCGCAAGAGAAGAAGAUGGAGCUCUGCGAGCAGUGCGGCUCCUUUCUCGUCACCAACGACGUCCUUGAGAGGACGCAGUCCCAUGUCACCGGCAAACAGCACAUUGGUUAUGGUCUGGUCAGGGAAUUUCUCGCCGAAUACAAGGCUGCGAAAGAAGCGGAGAAGCUUGCAAGGGAGAAGGAAGCAGAGGAGCGUCUGAACCGGGAGAGAGGCCACCAUAACAGAGGCCACCGUGACGACUAUAGGGAGAGAUCUAGGGAGCAUGACCGUGACCGCUACUAUGAGCGAAGCCGUGAAAGAGAGAGGCCCUAUGAGCACGGAGGUAGAGGGUCAGACUAUAGAGGCGGUUCCUAUAACAGCCGCAGGGAUUCUGAAAGGGCGAGGCCCAGAGAUAGGAACGGUGGUGAUUUUUCAAGAAGAGGAGACCCGGGGAGGGUGAGGAGCAGGUCCCGGUCUCCGGGGAGGCAUGGUUAUUAA
rnacentral:rRNA from 1 species